rnacentral:misc_RNA from 1 species
GUAGGUGAACCUGCGGAAGGAUCAUUAACACGUAUCCAACGUUAAACAACCCUGUGAACUUUCAGACGCUCUUGUAGCCCAAGCGGAACAGCAAUCCCGGUAAAUCAAUGGCGGAAAGAGUUUGAUUCGGGACCUCUGUCCAUCAGGUUACAAUCGUAGCUAGGAGCAGUGGCAUGGUUUCCUGAAGCAGUGCCGAAGGAUGCACUGAGUAUGGAUAACGCAUCACGGUUGCUAGAGGUCGAUCACCGGC